UACCCUUGGUCAGGUUGAAGUUCAGGUAACACUGAAUGGAGGACCGAACCGACUUACGUUGAAAAGUGAGCGGAUGAACUGAGGGUAGCGGAGAAAUUCCAAUCGAACCUGGAGAUAGCUGGUUCUCUCCGAAAUAGCUUUAGGGCUAGCCUCAAGUGAUGAUUAUUGGAGGUAGAGCACUGUUUGGACGAGGGGCCCCUCUCGGGUUACCGAAUUCAGACAAACUCCGAAUGCCAAUUAAUUUAACUUGGGAGUCAGAACAUGGGUGAUAAGGUCCGUGUUCGAAAGGGAAACAGCCCAGACCACCAGCUAAGGUCCCAAAAUAUAUGUUAAGUGGAAAAGGAUGUGGCGUUGCCCAGACAACUAGGAUGUUGGCUUAGAAGCAGCCAUCAUUUAAAGAGUGCGUAAUAGCUCACUAGUCGAGUGACACUGCGCCGAAAAUGUACCGGGGCUAAACAUAUUACCGAAGCUGUGGAUUGUCCUUUGGACAAUGGUAGGAGAGCGUUCUAAGGGCGUUGAAGCAUGAUCGUAAGGACAUGUGGAGCGCUUAGAAGUGAGAAUGCCGGUGUGAGUAGCGAAAGACGGGUGAGAAUCCCGUCCACCGAUUGACUAAGGUUUCCAGAGGAAGGCUCGUCCGCUCUGGGUUAGUCGGGUCCUAAGCUGAGGCCGACAGGCGUAGGCGAUGGAUAACAGGUUGAUAUUCCUGUACCACCUAUAAUCGUUUUAAUCGAUGGGGGGACGCAGUAGGAUAGGCGAAGCGUGCGAUUGGAUUGCACGUCUAAGCAGUAAGGCUGAGUAUUAGGCAAAUCCGGUACUCGUUAAGGCUGAGCUGUGAUGGGGAGAAGACAUUGUGUCUUCGAGUCGUUGAUUUCACACUGCCGAGAAAAGCCUCUAGAUAGAAAAUAGGUGCCCGUACCGCAAACCGACACAGGUAGUCAAGAUGAGAAUUCUAAGGUGAGCGAGCGAACUCUCGUUAAGGAACUCGGCAAAAUGACCCCGUAACUUCGGGAGAAGGGGUGCUCUUUAGGGUUAACGCCCAGAAGAGCCGCAGUGAAUAGGCCCAAGCGACUGUUUAUCAAAAACACAGGUCUCUGCUAAACCGUAAGGUGAUGUAUAGGGGCUGACGCCUGCCCGGUGCUGGAAGGUUAAGAGGAGUGGUUAGCUUCUGCGAAGCUACGAAUCGAAGCCCCAGUAAACGGCGGCCGUAACUAUAACGGUCCUAAGGUAGCGAAAUUCCUUGUCGGGUAAGUUCCGACCCGCACGAAAGGCGUAACGAUUUGGGCACUGUCUCAACGAGAGACUCGGUGAAAUCAUAGUACCUGUGAAGAUGCAGGUUACCCGCGACAGGACGGAAAGACCCCGUGGAGCUUUACUGUAGCCUGAUAUUGAAAUUCGGCACAGCUUGUACAGGAUAGGUAGGAGCCUUUGAAACGUGAGCGCUAGCUUACGUGGAGGCGCUGGUGGGAUACUACCCUAGCUGUGUUGGCUUUCUAACCCGCACCACUUAUCGUGGUGGGAGACAGUGUCAGGCGGGCAGUUUGACUGGGGCGGUCGCCUCCUAAAAGGUAACGGAGGCGCUCAAAGGUUCCCUCAGAAUGGUUGGAAAUCAUUCAUAGAGUGUAAAGGCAUAAGGGAGCUUGACUGCGAGACCUACAAGUCGAGCAGGGUCGAAAGACGGACUUAGUGAUCCGGUGGUUCCGCAUGGAAGGGCCAUCGCUCAACGGAUAAAAGCUACCCCGGGGAUAACAGGCUUAUCUCCCCCAAGAGUUCACAUCGACGGGGAGGUUUGGCACCUCGAUGUCGGCUCAUCGCAUCCUGGGGCUGUAGUCGGUCCCAAGGGUUGGGCUGUUCGCCCAUUAAAGCGGUACGCGAGCUGGGUUCAGAACGUCGUGAGACAGUUCGGUCCCUAUCCGUCGUGGGCGUAGGAAAUUUGAGAGGAGCUGUCCUUAGUACGAGAGGACCGGGAUGGACAUACCUCUGGUGUACCAGUUGUCGUGCCAACGGCAUAGCUGGGUAGCUAUGUGUGGACGGGAUAAGUGCUGAAAGCAUCUAAGCAUGAAGCCCCCCUCAAGAUGAGAUUUCCCAACUUCGGUUAUAAGAUCCCUCAAAGAUGAUGAGGUUAAUAGGUUCGAGGUGGAAGCAUGGUGACAUGUGGAGCUGACGAAUACUAAUCGAUCGAAGACUUAAUCAA
rnacentral:rRNA from 1 species